rnacentral:Y_RNA from 1 species
GGCUGGUCCGAAGGUAGUGAGUAUCUCACGUGAUUGUUCACAGUCAGUUACAGAUUGAACUCCUUGUUACUACUUUCCCCCCUCCUCACUACUGCACUUGACUAGUCUUAA